ACCUACGGGGGGCAGCAGUGGGGAAUAUUGCACAAUGGGCGAAAGCCUGAUGCAGCGACGCCGCGUGAGGGAUGACGGCCUUCGGGUUGUAAACCUCUUUCAGUAGGGAAGAAGCGAAAGUGACGGUACCUGCAGAAGAAGCGCCGGCUAACUACGUGCCAGCAGCCGCGGUAAUACGUAGGGCGCAAGCGUUAUCCGGAAUUAUUGGGCGUAAAGAGCUCGUAGGCGGUUUGUCGCGUCUGCUGUGAAAGGCCAGGGCUCAACCCUGGUUCUGCAGUGGGUACGGGCAGACUUGAGUGAUGUAGGGGAGACUGGAAUUCCUGGUGUAGCGGUGAAAUGCGCAGAUAUCAGGAGGAACACCGAUGGCGAAGGCAGGUCUCUGGGCAUUAACUGACGCUGAGGAGCGAAAGCAUGGGGAGCGAACAGGAUUAGAUACCCCAGUAGUC
rnacentral:rRNA from 1 species